rnacentral:rRNA from 1 species
GAGACAGCAGUCGCCGCGGUAAUACAGAGGGUGCGAGCGUUAAUCGGAUUUACUGGGCGUAAAGCGUGCGUAGGCGGCUUCUUAAGUCGGAUGUGAAAUCCCUGAGCUUAACUUAGGAAUUGCAUUCGAUACUGGGAAGCUAGAGUAUGGGAGAGGAUGGUAGAAUUCCAGGUGUAGCGGUGAAAUGCGUAGAGAUCUGGAGGAAUACCGAUGGCGAAGGCAGCCAUCUGGCCUUAUACUGACGCUGAGGUACGAAAGCAUGGGGAGCAAACAGGAUUAGAUACCCGGGUAGUCCCUGUCUCUUAUAA